ACCUGGCUGGCUCAGCAGGUAGAGCGUGUGACUCUUGAUCUCAAGGCUAUGAGUUCAGACCCCACACUGGGUG
rnacentral:tRNA from 1 species